AAAUCCUAGAUUUUUGUUUACCUAAAUUGGCUCAAACCCUAAACACUAAAAUGUCUAAACCCUAAACCCUAAGGCAAUUUUCUAGAAAUUUAAGGAAAUGACAAAAAUGCCCCUAAGUGUAUAAUUGAGGCUAAAUUGUAGGUUUUGAAAAUAGGUGAAGUUGUUGGCCAACUCCAACCACUCUUUGUGACUCAAAUAUGCCAGCAACAAGCAACAUCUCAGCUCAUACAUGCAUUAUAUUUGUCUAUAAAUAGAUUUAAGGAGAGAGAAAAUCAUUUUUGUGCACUAAAAUUGUCCAACACUCAAUCAAGAAUUUCUCCCACUAGAACCAACGAAAAUAUAUAGUAAAUCAGUCCCUUUAUCAAGCCCCACAUCUACCAUAAUCCAAUCACAAACAACUUGGAGAGCAAAAAAUCAAAAAUCAAGGCA
rnacentral:lncRNA from 1 species